rnacentral:rRNA from 1 species
CCCUUAGAUGUUCUGGGCCGCACGCGCGCUACACUGAUUCAUGCAACAAGUUUUGUCCUUGGCUGAUAGGCCUGGGUAAUCUUUGAACGUGAAUCGUGAUGGGGAUAGAUGAUUGCAAUUAUUCAUCUUCAACGAGGAAUUCCUAGUAAACGCAAGUCAUCAGCUUGCAUUGAUUACGUCCCUGCCCUUUGUACACACCGCCCGUCGCUCCUACCGAUCGAAGAGUUAGGUGAAUUGUUUUGAUCGAUAAGAUUUGACUAUGGUCAACUCUCGUUGUGAAAUUCUGUGAAUCUGACUGUUUAGAGGAAGGAAAAGUCGUAACA